rnacentral:rRNA from 1 species
UACGUAGGGCGCAAGCGUUGUCCGGAAUUAUUGGGCGUAAAGAGCUCGUAGGCGGUUUGUCGCGUCUGCUGUGAAAUCCCGAGGCUCAACCUCGGGCUUGCAGUGGUACGGGCAGACUAGAGUGCGGUAGGGGAGACUGGAAUUCCUGGUGUAGCGGUGGAAUGCGCAGAUAUCAGGAGGAACACCGAUGGCGAAGGCAGGUCUCUGGGCCGCAACUGACGCUGAG